AUGAGAACUGCUCUUGCAUUGUUGCCUCUCUUUCUUCUCUUGACUGUAGCAAUGGUUGAAUCAAGAAAAGAUCUAGGAGAAUACUGGAAGCUGGUAAUGAAAGACCAAGCCAUGCCUGAAGAAAUUCAAGGACUUGUCAACACCAACACUAAAAGCAAUUUCAACACUAAGCAGUCAUUUGGUGAUAAGAGAGCCCUUGAAAAUUUUGAACCAAGACCAAAUGCUUCUGCUUAUGGAAACAAUGACAUUGGUGCUGAAUUCACUUAG